GUGCUAAUGAGGUUAUACGCUCGUAGUCUGAUGUAAUGGGGACUGGAGUGGGGAGCAGCGAUGCUCUUUGCUUUGGUGCUCAUCAGGGGGACAGCAAUGUCCCAGUUUACUUUGAGGAAAUUAGAGUGUUCAAAGCAGGCGAUUGCUUGAAUACUGCAGCAUGGAAUAAUGGAAUAGGACUCGCGUCUUAUUUUGUUGGUUUGGAGAUGUGAGUAAUGAUGAAUAGGGACAGUUGGGGGCAUUGGUAUUCAGUAGUCAGAGGUGAAAUUCUUGGAUUUACUGAGGACUAACUAGUGCGAAAGCAUUUAC
rnacentral:rRNA from 1 species